rnacentral:piRNA from 1 species
UAGCAGAGACACCGAAACACGGAUACU